rnacentral:misc_RNA from 1 species
ACACCUCAACUCUCAUGGCUUUGCCAUGGUGAGCUUGGACUUUGGGGGUCUUGCUGGCCUACGGUCAGCUCCUCUCAAACAAAUCAGCUUGCCAGUGUUUGGUGGCGUUCACGGGUGUGAUAACUAUCUACGCUCGUGGUUUUCCACCGGGUAACCUUCAGCGAUGGAGGUUCGCUGGAGCUCACAGAUGUCUCUCCUUGGCGAGGACAGCUUUUGGAC